UACGUAGGGGGCGAGCGUUGUCCGGAAUGACUGGGCGUAAAGGGCGUGUAGGCGGUCGAUUAAGUCUGGAGUGAAAGUCCCGGUUUUAAGUUGGGAAUUGCUUUGGAUACUGGUUGACUUGAGUGCGGAAGAGGUAAGUGGAAUUCCCAGUGUAGCGGUGAAAUGCGUAGAGAUUGGGAGGGACACCAGUGGCGAAGGCGACUUACUGGGCCGUAACUGACGCUGAGGCGCGAAAGCGUGGGGAGCGAAC
rnacentral:rRNA from 1 species